rnacentral:rRNA from 1 species
UGCGCAGGCGGAAUAGUAAGUCAGUGGUGAAAUCUCUCGGCUCAACCGAGGACCUGCCAUUGAUACUGCUAAUCUAGAGUUUAGAUGAAGUGGGCGGAAUGUAGCAUGUAGCGGUGAAAUGCAUAGAUAUGCUACAGAACACCGAUUGCGAAGGCAGCUCACUAAGCUAAAACUGACGCUCAGGCACGAAAGCGUGGGGAUCAAACAGGAUUAGAUACCCUGGUAGUCC